rnacentral:rRNA from 1 species
UACGUAGGUGGCAAGCGUUGUCCGGAUUUACUGGGUGUAAAGGGCGUGCAGCCGGGCUGACAAGUCAGAUGUGAAAUCCCGCGGCUCAACCGCGGAACUGCAUUUGAAACUGUCAGUCUUGAGUACCGGAGAGGUCAUCGGAAUUCCCUGUGUAGCGGUGAAAUGCGUAGAUAUAAGGAAGAACACCAGUGGCGAAGGCGGAUGACUGGACGGCAACUGACGGUGAGGCGCGAAAGCGUGGGGAGCAAACAGG